UACGAAGGGGGCUAGCGUUGCUCGGAAUUACUGGGCGUAAAGCGCACGUAGGCGGCUUUCUAAGUCGGGGGUGAAAUCCUGGAGCUCAACUCCAGAACUGCCUUCGAUACUGGAGAGCUCGAGUCCGGGAGAGGUGAGUGGAACUGCGAGUGUAGAGGUGAAAUUCGUAGAUAUUCGCAAGAACACCAGUGGCGAAGGCGGCUCACUGGCCCGGUACUGACGCUGAGGCGCGAAAGCGUGGGGAGCAAACGGG
rnacentral:rRNA from 1 species